ensembl:scaRNA
GACUGGACCCAAGAAUACUUGUCUACUCCACCCUUGAGGAUCACUGUUGGGGCAGCCUUGACCUGGCAGCCCUGUUUUCCUCCUUCAGACAUCU